CUUAGUGGCGACGGGUGAGUAACACGUGAGCAACCUGCCUUUCAGAGGGGGACAACAGUUGGAAACGACUGCUAAUACCGCAUAACGUUGCGAUGGGCAUCCCAAUGCAACCAAAGAUUUAUCGCUGAAAGAUGGGCUCGCGUCUGAUUAGAUAGUUGGUGAGGUAACGGCUCACCAAGUCGACGAUCAGUAGCCGGACUGAGAGGUUGAACGGCCACAUUGGGACUGAGACACGGCCCAGACUCCUACGGGAGGCAGCAGUGGGGGGAUAUUGGACAAUGGGGGCAACCCUUAUCCAGCGACGCCGCGUGAGGGAAGAAGGUUUUCGGAUUGUAAACCUCUGUCAGUGGGGACGAUAAUGACGGUACCCACGGAGGAAGCCACGGCUAACUACGUG
rnacentral:rRNA from 1 species